UACGGGGGGGGCAAGCGUUGUUCGGAAUUACUGGGCGUAAAGGGCUCGUAGGUGGCCAACUAAGUCAGACGUGAAAUCCCCAGGCUCAACUUGGGAACUGCGUCUGAUACUGGAUGGCUUGAAUUCGGGAGAGGGAUGCAGAAUUCCAGGUGUGGCGGUGAAAUGCGUAGAUAUCUGGAGGAAUACCGGUGGCGAAGGCGGCAUCCUGGACCGAGAUUGACACUGAUGAGCGAAAGCUAGGGGAGCAAACGGG
rnacentral:rRNA from 1 species